UGAUUCAAUUUAACUUUUACGUUGAGCUCGAUUGGAUCGCUGUCUCCGUCGGUCGUGCGCUUCAGUCUUCUGAGGAGAAACGGGGAACUUGUUGCAAGAAGUGAAUAAAGAUUGUUUUUCUUUCGCAUGAAAGCAAGAAGCUGUGUUUAGAAAGUAGCGGAAAAAGUUUUUAUAACCGGAAAUCUUGAGUAAGCAAAAAGUUUAGGAACCUAUUCAUUCCAGGUGUGUAGAGUUCGAUCUGUGAAGAUAGAGAGGGAGAAAGAGUGUCAAAGUUACAAAAGCCGAUCUGGAACGAUGACAAAGUUUCCUGCUGUGUUGGCGCUUGGCGCUGUUCUGUGCGGUUUGGUCGCCUACUCACAUGGACACACAUACAAGACGGGCGAAUGUCCAACGGUGGAACCGAUGAGCGGAUUCAACAUGCAACAGUUCCUGGGGGUUUGGUAUGUGAUCCAGAAAACGGGUACCGCAUCCACCUGCGUCAUCUACAACAUCACCAAGGGCGAAGAACCGGGCGAGUACGAUAUCGAGCAAGUGUCCCAGAAGGCCCCGCUCUCGAUUGCGCCCAUCAAACACGAAUACAGCUACACCGGAAAGCUGACGGCGACCGAUAAGGACAUCCCGGCACGGAUGACCGUUCGGUUUCCAUUGAGUGUGGCAGGAUCUGCUAAAUUCAUUGUAUUUAUGACCGAUUACAGCACUUUCGCCGGCGUAUUCUCUUGUCAGAAGAUUCCGUUUGGUCAUCGCCAGAGUGCUACCAUUCUAUCAAGAACCAGAGAUUUGGACAAGAUCUACGUUGAUAAGAUCCGCAAUCGACUUUCCAGCUCUUCGGUGGACCCGUUCGAUUUGAGCAUCAUCGACCAAACAGGCUGUCCGAAGGAGGGAGAGGCCGGUUGGAAUAUUCACAUCGAUUCGGACACGUUCUCAGCCAAAAACAUCGCAAACGUGUUUCGCAAGGCCGGAGAAAAAAUUGGCGACGGGUUCGAAUACGCCGUGAAUGCCGGCAAAAAGGUUAAUUUGUUUUAACCAUCCCGCAAUAAAUGCGUUUCUCAAACGACGCUCGGCCUCAGCUUUUCUUUUGUGUUCAUCUUUACAAUCAAUACGCAAGCUCCAGCGCGGAAGAGGACAUCAGCAGCGGUAACAGAACGGAACGUUUGACCAUGAAUCCGAACUCGGAUGCAGAGUGGCUUCCGUGAAGCUGGCCGUUCAAACACUAUCCAAGCAAUUUAUAAUAAAUAAUGGUUGCCGAAAAUUUUGAAAUUAAGGCUCAAGUUACCUCAAGGCUUGGUAGUAUGCGUAAGAAAAAUUGUGUUCAGCUUUGCCACCAGAUUAUCCAUUUAAACCUUUUCCAAACUCUAAAAGAAGAAUAUCAGUCGAUUUAUUAGAUCAUCACGAUUCAAUUCAUGCAAAAUACCUGCUGGAAAAACCAUCGGCUUAGCUGGAUGGUGCUUUUGAAAAAGUGGCUGUGAUUUUUUAUCACACUACCACACCGAGCUGGGGUACGCAACACAACUGCGCAAUGAAAAAACCACAGCCACUUUUUCAAAAGCACCAUUUAGCUAAGCCGAUGGUUUUUCCAGCAGGUAUUUUGCAUGAAUUGAAUCGUGAUGAUCUAAUAAAUCGACUGAUAUUAUUCUUUUAGAGUUUUAAAAAGGUUUAAAUGGAUAAUCCGGUGGCAAAGCUGAACACAAAUUUUCCUACGCACACUACCAAGCGUUCAAUUCUAACACAUGCUUAAAAAAGGUAACUUGAACCUUAAUGUCAAUCAAUGUUUUAAAAUAAACUGGAACUUAUGACAAUAAACUGUAUGCGUUGAA